UACGUAGGCAGCGAGCGUUGUUCGGAGUUACUGGGCGUAAAGAGUGCGUAGGCGGUUUUCUAAGUUUGGUGUGAAAUCUCCCGGCUUAACUGGGAGGGUGCGCCGAAUACUGAAUGACUUGGAGUGCGGGAGAGGUGAGUGGAAUUCCUGGUGUAGCGGUGAAAUGCGUAGAUAUCAGGAGGAACACCGGUGGUGUAGACGGCUCACUGGACCGUAACUGACGCUGAGACACGAAAGCGUGGGUAGCAAACAGG
rnacentral:rRNA from 1 species